AUGCAUCGCCUCAGCCCCGCCUCCUCUACUGCGGCCCCCAUGGUCGAGAGGGGCAGUUGCGCCGUACCUGGCGACGAGUUCAGCGGCCGCCGCCUCCUCUCCUCUCUGAAUCCAGUGCCUAUGGGUUCUCCUCGGUUGGAUUGUUCAUCCUUCUUCGCCGGUGGUGUGCUUGUCUGUUGCAAUAACUUUUGUGCGCUGGAUGAACACUGCUGGUUGAGGUUUGUUUCUUCCUGUUGUCUCCUGCAUCCACCAUUGCAUCGUUCUGCCAUUGCCAUUGAGCAGGUUCGACGAUCUGCUAGGUUGUUGCAUCUACAAAUCUGUGCUGCUAUUCAAGAUUACUUGUCAUUUUCUGCAUAA
rnacentral:rRNA from 1 species